UGGGCAGUAGCUCAGUGGUAGGGCUCCCGCUUUGUAUGCUGGAAGACCUGGGUUCGAUCCCCUGCUACUUGC
rnacentral:tRNA from 1 species